CCCCUCUCAGGAUAGCAUCUGGAGAGUUUCCAAUACUUUUACCAGCUUCGGUUGCGGGAGGGAGAGUCAAGCAGAGGUCUACCCAUUCCAUUCCUAGCUUGGGCAGUGGCUAGUGAGAGGAAGGCAAUCUGCUACAAGU